rnacentral:lncRNA from 1 species
CUGAAGGAAGAAAAUGACAAGUUCAGACCUGUGAAGAUAGAAGUCAAAUUAUCUGCUCCCAAAAUGUAAUGAUGGAAAAGGCAUAGGAUAAUUGUUACGGAUAUUUCUAUUCCCAAAGAGAGAAAAUGGAAGGAAGAAAAGACUUACCUGUCCCAAGCAAUUUCAAAAUCCAGCUAAGCAAACUUCAUUAAUUUUCAAGGGCUGGGAAAAAUCCUCUGUGACUGGAGUCUCCACUCUCUAUAGCUCAAGGUUCCACACUCUGAGCCCAUGGCUCCACCUAGCCAUUCUGCCCUCUUCGGAAGGAUAGCAGGAGAUUGCAGCUGAGUAGUUUUAUUAACCUUUUUCCUUCCCCUUUCAGGGCUGGGGCAUUCAUUCUCCCAGCUGCUGAGACUGUUAGCAGCUGACAGCUUUCAGCUGAGUCCCUCUCUGAGCCUUGUCCUCAAUCUUAAAAGCCUGCCUGAGGCCUUUCCUCUCUUCCCCAGAGACAGCCUGCAUUCCCCAACUGCUCAGUGUGAACCAACUCUGAAGCACCUUGCUAGUGUGAAUUCCCUGCAGAAUUGGCUGAGGACUUGGUUGCCAUUGCAUGGAUGUUUACCUCAUCCACCUUCCUAAUCCCACGGCUCCCACAAGUGUUGAUCCUAAGGGCACUUCUCAAUAAAUUUCCUACAUGGGAAUCUCUGUCUCAGAAAUUUUUUUGUCACAAAGAAGGCAAUAACGGACCCACAGCCUUCAAACCUCCUACAUGGCACAAUCGAGAAUUUGCCAACUUGAGAAAAUAUCUGAAUGUCCUCAAAGGCACAGCCAACACAUCAGCCUGGGAACGACACCCUCUGGAGUCAGUUCAGUCUCCUUCAAGAUGUGGUAUAUAUCCAAAAGCAGAAGAUAAGGAUCUCCCUAUUCUCCUGCUGGCGUUUCUUUCACCUCAAAUAAACUACUUGCACUUCAAGUCUUACCUCAAGAUCUAGAUCUAGGAAACCCAAUCUAUGACAACUAUGCAGCAAUCAUAAAGCUGAACACUAGCAAACCCUGUUCUCAAAAGUCUGGCAGAAUUUCCCCCACUGGGGGAUUCUCAUCAGUCAUCUCACCCACUUGAGCUUCAGCCUCCUUCCAUGGUGUUCUGUCCACUUCUUUAACCUCCUCCUAUUUUCUUGCCCCAUUGCUCAUUCUCAAUCCUUUUUUCUUGUUACAAGGCAUCCACACUAUACUCAAGUAUUUCUUCUCCAUAACCAAAUAAUGAAGAUGAGUUCCUAAAAAAUCACUGUUUCUUUCCUAAGAUGAUUUCUCUUAGCUCUUAAAAUUACACUUCUAUCAACCCAUUUGUUA